UACGAAGGGGGCUAGCGUUGCUCGGAAUCACUGGGCGUAAAGCGCACGUAGGCGGAUUGCUAAGUCAGGGGUGAAAUCCUGGAGCUCAACUCCAGAACUGCCUUUGAUACUGGCGAUCUUGAGUCCGGGAGAGGUGAGUGGAACUGCGAGUGUAGAGGUGAAAUUCGUAGAUAUUCGCAAGAACACCAGUGGCGAAGGCGACUUUCUGGUCUGUAACUGACGCUGAGGCGCGAAAGCGUGGGGAGCAAACAGG
rnacentral:rRNA from 1 species